rnacentral:rRNA from 1 species
ACGGGAGGCAGCAGUGAGGAAUAUUGGUCAAUGGGCAGAAGCCUGAACCAGCCAAGUCGCGUGAAGGAAGACGGUAUUAUGUAUUGUAAACUUCUUUAGACGCAGAGAAAUAAGGUGCUCGCGAGCACUGAUGCUAGUAUGCGUAGAAUAAGCAUCGGCUAACUCCGUGCCAGCAGCCGCGGUAAUACGGAGGAUGCGAGCGUUAUCCGGAUUUAUUGGGUUUAAAGGGUGCGCAGGCGGUCAAUUAAGUCAGUGGUCAAAUGGUGAGGCUCAACCUCAUUCCGCCAUUGAUACUGGUUGACUUGAUUUCGGUUGAGGUAGGCGGAAUUCGCCGUGUAGCGGUGAAAUGCAUAGAUAUGGCGAAGAACUCCGAUUGCGUAGGCAGCUUACCAAGCCGACAAUGACGCUCAUGCACGAAAGUGCGGGGAUCGAACAGGAUUAGAUACCCUGGUA